rnacentral:rRNA from 1 species
CGAAAGCCUGACGGAGCAAUACCGCGUGAGGGAGGAAGGCUCUUGGGUCGUAAACCUCUUUUCUCAGGGAAGAACACAAUGACGGUACCUGAGGAAUAAGCAUCGGCUAACUCCGUGCCAGCAGCCGCGGUAAUACGGAGGAUGCAAGCGUUAUCCGGAAUGAUUGGGCGUAAAGCGUCCGCAGGUGGCAAUGUAAGUCUGCUGUUAAAGAGUCUAGCUCAACUAGAUAAAAGCAGUGGAAACUACAUAGCUAGAGUACGUUCGGGGCAGAGGGAAUUCCUGGUGUAGCGGUGAAAUGCGUAGAGAUCAGGAAGAACACCGGUGGCGAAGGCGCUCUGCUAGGCCGUAACUGACACUGAGGGACGAAAGCUAGGGGAGCGAAUGGGAUUAGAUACCCCAGUAGUCCUAGCCGUAAACGAUGGAUACUAGGCGUGGCUUGUAUCGACCCGAGCCGUGCCGUAGCUAACGCGUUAAGUAUCCCGCCUGGGGAGUACGCCGGCAACGGUGAAACUCAAAGGAAUUGACGGGGGCCCGCACAAGCGGUGGAGUAUGUGGUUUAAUUCGAUGCAACGCGAAGAACCUUACCAAGGCUUGACAUGUCGCGAAUCUUCUUGAAAGGGAAGAGUGCCUUCGGGAGCGCGAACACAGGUGGUGCAUGGCUGUCGUCAGCUCGUGUCGUGAGAUGUUGGGUUAAGUCCCGCAACGAGCGCAACCCUCGUUUUUAGUUGCCAGCAUUAAGUUGGGCACUCUAGAGAGACUGCCGGUGACAAACCGGAGGAAGGUGGGGAUGACGUCAAGUCAGCAUGCCCCUUACGCCUUGGGCUACACACGUACUACAAUGCUCCGGACAGAGGGCAGCAAGCAUGCGAAUGCAAGCAAAUCCCGUAAACCGGAGCUCAGUUCAGAUCGCAGGCUGCAACUCGCCUGCGUGAAGGAGGAAUCGCUAGUAAUUGCAGGUCAGCAUACUGCAGUGAAUUCGUUCCCGGGCCUUGUACACACCGCCCGUCACACCAUGGAAGCUGGUAGUGCCCGAAGUCAUUACUCC